CCGCUGAACUUAAGCAUAUCAAUAAGCGGAGGAAAAGAAACUAACAAGGAUUCCCCUAGUAACGGCGAGUGAAGAGGGAAAAGCCCAAAUUUGUAAUCUGGCUCUAUUAAGGAGUCUGAGUUGUAAUUUWGAGAACUGUUUUCAGUGCUGGACCMUGUACAAGUCUGUUGAAAAACAGCAUCAUUGAGGGUGAUAAUCCCGUUCAUGAUAUGGACUACCAGUGCUUUAUGAUAUAGUCUCUAAGAGUCGAGUUGUUUGGGAAUGCAGCUCAAAGUGGGUGGUAAAUUCCAUCUAAGGCUAAAUAUAGGUGAGAGACCGAUAGCAAACAAGUACCGUGAGGGAAAGAUGAAAAGAACUUUGAAAAGAGAGUUAACAGUACGUGAAAUUGUUGAAAGGGAAACGAUUGAAGUUAGACUUGUUAUUAUUAGUUCASCUCUUUGUUUAGAGUGUAUUCUAAUGAUUAACAGACCAACAUCAGUCUUUGGGUGUUGGAUAAGGGUUGUUUGRGAAAUGUAGCAGUCUUGUGCUGUGUUAUMGUCCCCAACUUUGAUACAAUGCUUGGGAUUGAGGAUUGCAGUAAGCUCUUUGGAGUCAGACUAAUUUAAUUAGUCUUCUUGCUGAGGAUGUUGGUGUA
rnacentral:rRNA from 1 species